CUAUUGCUGCUCUUAGUGUGGAAUAACACUUCUUUUGCACACAGUUUUGAAUGAAACAGGCUCCACGAUAGUGUAAAACAGUACCCUUUCUCAGCUCUGUGUGCUGUGCCUCUAACAUGAGAAGCCACUAUUCCAGGGCAGAGCUGGUGUCAGCCAGUUUCACCAACUCAGACCGUGGGAGCGUGGGAAGGUCCUUGCAGGGACUCAUAAGAUGCUAAGAAACCAGUGUUGGUGAUGAUUGUGUCACUAUGGAACACCACCGUCAUUCGGUUUGAUGAGGAGCACCUCAGAGCAUAAUCAGUGUGGACAGCAGACAGCUCUCUCCACAGAUGAUACUGACCCAGGG